rnacentral:rRNA from 1 species
UGUUUUUUGUUUUGAGCGUUUGGUGGAUGCCUUGGCAUCGUGUGCCGAUGAAGGACGUUGUGGCUGGCGAUAGCCUCGGGGAGUUAGCGAGCGUGCGUUGAUCCGGGGGUUUCCGAAUGGGGUAACCUGACCAUAGUUGUGUGUGGUUGGCGCGCACUGAAGUUUUGUAGGUGUGUGUUGGUAGGGUGGGAAGUGAAACAUCUUAGUACCGCCUUUUGUGAGAUAGUCCGUGUGUAGUGGUGAGCGAUAGCGGGUGUUGGCUAAACCGUUUGCGUGUGAUACUCGGCAGGGGUUGCGCGGGCGGGGUUGUGGGAUGGAAUCGUCAAGCAACUGCCGUUGUUUGGAGCGUUUUUGUGUGUGUGAGGUGAACAGGUUGGGAUGCCUGGCCGUAGACCGUGAGAGUCGGGUAGCUGGUUGCGCAUGCGUGGCGUUGGGUUUUGUUCCCGAGUAGCGCGGGGCUCGUGGAAUCUCGUGUGAAUCUGCCCAGACCAUUGGGUAAGCCUGGACGGGCAUGGUGACCGAUAGUGGAUUAGUACCGUGAGGGAAUGGUGAAAAGUACCCCGGGAGGGGAGUGAAAUAGUUCCUGAAACCAAGCGUUUUUAAGCCGUCAGAGCCGCGGGAUCCUUUCGGGGGUUGGUGUGGUGGUGGCGUGCCUAUUGAAGAAUGAGCCUGCGAGUUAUGUUGCGUUGCGAGGUUAACCUGUUGUGGGGUAGUCGUAGGGAAACCGAGUCCUGGGGGCGUUUUAGUUGCGUGGCAUAGACCCGAAGCGGGGUGAUCUACCCAUGGCCAGGUUGAAGCGGCGGUAGAACGUCGUGGAGGACCGCACCCACCAGGGUUGAAAACCUGGGGGAUGAGUUGUGGGUAGGGGUGAAAGGCCAAUCAAACUCCGUGAUAGCUGGUUCUCCCCGAAAUAUAUUUAGGUAUAGCGUUCCAUCUUUUGCUUGCGUGUGGUAGAGCUACUGGUUGGUUGAUGGGCCUUGUUGGUUACUGAGAUCUGCUAAACUCCGAAUGCGCGUUAAGUUGGUGGGGCAGUCAGACAGCGGGGGAUAAGCUUCGUUGUCGAGAGGGAAACAGCCCUGAUCAUCGGUUAAGGUUCCUAAGUGUGUGCUGAGUGGAAAAGGAUGUGUAGUUGCGUUGACAGCCAGGAGGUUGGCUUAGAAGCAGCCACCCUUGAAAGAGUGCGUAAUAGCUUACUGGUCGAGUGAUUGUGCGCCGAUAAUGUAGUGGGGCUUAAGCAUGCCACCGAAACUGUGACUACAAUGCUUUUUGGUGUUGUGGGGUAGGGGAGCGUCCUGCAUUGUUGUAGCGGCCUGGUGAUGGGUCGUGUGUGGUGUGGGAGUGAGAAUGCAGGCAUGAGUAGCGAGUCCAGCGUGAGAAUCGCUGGCGCCGAUAAACUAAGGGUUCCAGGGGAAGGUUUAUCCGCCCUGGGUUAGUCGGGUCCUAAGGCGAGGCCGUCAGGCGUAGUCGAUGGUUGAGCAGUUGAUAUUCUGCUACCGGGAUUUGACCGUUUUUUGAUGCUCUUAUCUUGAGCUUGACGCCCUUUCCGGUUCUUGUCUUCCUUCGGGUUGAUAAGGGUCGUUGGGUUUUGGGUUUUUGGUUUGAGUGUUUUAGCUUCGUGGUGACACAGUGAGAUUGCCUGGCGCGGUGGUGGUUUACCGUGUUCAAGCCUGUAGCCUGUCUUCUAGGUUAAAUCCGGGAGGCGCAUGUGGUGAGGGGUGAUGGUGAGGCCCUUUUUGGGUUGAUAACAGGGUUGGUCUGUACUGUCGAGAAAAGCUGCGUUGUGAGGUUUUGUUCCGCCCGUACCCUAAACCGACUCUGGUAGUUGGGUAGAGAAUACUAAGGCGAGCGAGUGAAUCGUGGUUAAGGAAUUCGGCAAAUUGCCUCCGUAACUUCGGGAGAAGGAGGCCCCACCCCUUGAAAUCGCCUUUGCGUGGUUAGGGGGUGUGGGGUGCAAUAGCAAGAUGGAAGCGACUGUUUAUCAAAAACAUAGGUGCGUGCGAAGCCGUAAGGCGAGGUAUACGCACUGACGCCUGCCCGGUGCCGGAAGGUUAAGAGGAGCUGUUAGCUUUGGCGAAGCGGUGAAUUUAAGCCCCGGUAAACGGCGGUGGUAACUAUAACCAUCCUAAGGUAGCGAAAUUCCUUGUCGGGUAAGUUCCGACCUGCACGAAUGGCGUAACGACUUCUGUGCUGUCUUGACCGCGAACUCGGCGAAAUUGCAUUACGAGUAAAGAUGCUCGUUACGCGCAGCAGGACGGAAAGACCCCGGGACCUUUACUAUAGCUUGGUAUUGGUGGCUGGUUGUGUUUGUGUAGGAUAGGUGGGAGACGUUGAAGCAGGAACGCUAGUUUUUGUGGAGUCGGCAAGUGAAAUACCACUCUGAUGUUGCUGGUUAUCUGAACCUGGGCCCAUUAUCUGGGUUAGGGACA